UACGUAGGCAGCAAGCGUUGUUCGGAAUUACUGGGCGUAAAGAGUGUGUAGGCGGUGCUCUAAGUUCGGUGUGAAAUCUCCCGGCUCAACUGGGAGGGUGCGCCGGAAACUGGAAUGCUUGAGCGUGGGAGAGGAAAGCGGAAUUCCUGGUGUAGCGGUGAAAUGCGUAGAUAUCCGGAGGAACACCAAAGGCGAAGGCAGUGUCCUGGGGAGUACCUGACGCUCAGGUGCGAAAGCCAGGGGAGCGAACGGG
rnacentral:rRNA from 1 species